rnacentral:rRNA from 1 species
UACGUAGGGUGCAAGCGUUAAUCGGAAUUACUGGGCGUAAAGCGUGCGCAGGCGGUUAUGUAAGACAGAUGUGAAAUGCCCGGGCUUAACCUGGGAACUGCAUUUGUGACUGCAUGGCUAGAAUCUGGCAGAGGGGGGGUAGAAUUCCACGUGUAGCAGUGAAAUGCGUAGAGAUGUGGAGGAACACCGAUGGCGGAAGGCAGCCCCCCUGGGUUAAC